UACGGGGGGAGCAAGCGUUGUUCGGAUUUACUGGGCGUAAAGGGCGCGUAGGCGGCCCCGCAAGUCACUUGUGAAAUCUCUGGGCUUAACCCAGAACGGCCAAGUGAAACUGCAGGGCUAGAGUGUAGAAGGGGCAAUCGGAAUUCUUGGUGUAGCGGUGAAAUGCGUAGAUAUCAAGAGGAACACCUGAGGUGAAGACGGGUUGCUGGUCUAACACUGACGCUGAGGCGCGAAAGCCAGGGGAGCAAACGGG
rnacentral:rRNA from 1 species